rnacentral:rRNA from 1 species
GACGAACGCUGGCGGCGUGCUUAACACAUGCAAGUCGAACGGAAAGGCCCUGCUUUUGUGGGGUGCUCGAGUGGCGAACGGGUGAGUAACACGUGAGUAACCUGCCCUUGACUUUGGGAUAACUUCAGGAAACUGGGGCUAAUACCGGAUAGGAGCUCCUGCUGCAUGGUGGGGGUUGGAAAGUUUCGGCGGUUGGGGAUGGACUCGCGGCUUAUCAGCUUGUUGGUGGGGUAGUGGCUUACCAAGGCUUUGACGGGUAGCCGGCCUGAGAGGGUGACCGGGCACAGUGGGACUGAGAUACGGACCAGACUCCGUCGGGAGGCAGCAGUGGGGAAUAUUGCACAAUGGGCGGAAGCCUGAUGCAGCAACGCCGCGUGCGGGAUGACGGCCUUCGGGUUGUAAACCGCUUUCGCCUGUGACGAAGCGUGAGUGACGGUAAUGGGUAAAGAAGCACCGGCUAACUACGUG